rnacentral:rRNA from 1 species
GACGAACGCUGGCGGCGCGCUUUAUGCAUGCAAGUCGAACGGACCUUCGGGUCAGUGGCGGACGGCUGAGUAACGCGUAGGCAAUCUGCCCAGUGGUGGGGGAUAACUCGCCGAAAGGUGAGCUAAUACCGCAUAAGUUCGGUGGUUGAAAUACCACCGAGGAAAGCAGCAAUGCACCACUGGAGGAGCCUGCGUCCUAUCAGGUAGUUGGUGGGGUAACGCCUACCAAGCCGAUGACGGGUAGCUGGUCUGAGAGGACGACCAGCCAGAAGGGGACUGAGACACGGCCCCUACUCCUACGGGAGGCAGCAGCAAGGAAUCUUGGGCAAUGGGCGAAAGCCUGACCCAGCGACGCCGCGUGA